UAGAGUUUGAUCCUGGCUCAGAUUGAACGCUGGCGGCAGGCCUAACACAUGCAAGUCGAGCGGUAGAGAGAAGCUUGCUUCUCUUGAGAGCGGCGGACGGGUGAGUAAUGCCUAGGAAUCUGCCUGGUAGUGGGGGAUAACGUUCGGAAACGGACGCUAAUACCGCAUACGUCCUACGGGAGAAAGCAGGGGACCUUCGGGCCUUGCGCUAUCAGAUGAGCCUAGGUCGGAUUAGCUAGUUGGUGGGGUAAUGGCUCACCAAGGCGACGAUCCGUAACUGGUCUGAGAGGAUGAUCAGUCACACUGGAACUGAGACACGGUCCAGACUCCUACGGGAGGCAGCAGUGGGGAAUAUUGGACAAUGGGCGAAAGCCUGAUCCAGCCAUGCCGCGUGUGUGAAGAAGGUCUUCGGAUUGUAAAGCACUUUAAGUUGGGAGGAAGGGUUGUAGAUUAAUACUCUGCAAUUUUGACGUUACCGACAGAAUAAGCACCGGCUAACUCUGUGCCAGCAGCCGCGGUAAUACAGAGGGUGCAAGCGUUAAUCGGAAUUACUGGGCGUAAAGCGCGCGUAGGUGGUUUGUUAAGUUGGAUGUGAAAUCCCCGGGCUCAACCUGGGAACUGCAUUCAAAACUGACUGACUAGAGUAUGGUAGAGGGUGGUGGAAUUUCCUGUGUAGCGGUGAAAUGCGUAGAUAUAGGAAGGAGCACCAGUGGCGAAGGCGACCACCUGGACUAAUACUA
rnacentral:rRNA from 1 species